rnacentral:rRNA from 1 species
AUUGAACGCUGGCGGCAGGCUUAACACAUGCAAGUCGAGCGGGGGAAGGUAGCUUGCUACCGGACCUAGCGGCGGACGGGUGAGUAAUGCUUAGGAAUCUGCCUAUUAGUGGGGGACAACAUCUCGAAAGGGAUGCUAAUACCGCAUACGUCCUACGGGAGAAAGCAGGGGAUCUUCGGACCUUGCGCUAAUAGAUGAGCCUAAGUCGGAUUAGCUAGUUGGUGGGGUAAAGGCCUACCAAGGCGACGAUCUGUAGCGGGUCUGAGAGGAUGAUCCGCCACACUGGGACUGAGACACGGCCCAGACUCCUACGGGAGGCAGCAGUGGGGAAUAUUGGACAAUGGGGGGAACCCUGAUCCAGCCAUGCCGCGUGUGUGAAGAAGGCCUUAUGGUUGUAAAGCACUUUAAGCGAGGAGGAGGCUACUUUAGAUAAUACCUAGAGAUAGUGGACGUUACUCGCAGAAUAAGCACCGGCUAACUCUGUGCCAGCAGCCGCGGUAAUACAGAGGGUGCAAGCGUUAAUCGGAUUUACUGGGCGUAAAGCGCGCGUAGGCGGCUAAUUAAGUCAAAUGUGAAAUCCCCGAGCUUAACUUGGGAAUUGCAUUCGAUACUGGUUAGCUAGAGUGUGGGAGAGGAUGGUAGAAUUCCAGGUGUAGCGGUGAAAUGCGUAGAGAUCUGGAGGAAUACCGAUGGCGAAGGCAGCCAUCUGGCCUAACACUGACGCUGAGGUGCGAAAGCAUGGGGAGCAAACAGGAUUAGAUACCCUGGUAGUCCAUGCCGUAAACGAUGUCUACUAGCCGUUGGGGCCUUUGAGGCUUUAGUGGCGCAGCUAACGCGAUAAGUAGACCGCCUGGGGAGUACGGUCGCAAGACUAAAACUCAAAUGAAUUGACGGGGGCCCGCACAAGCGGUGGAGCAUGUGGUUUAAUUCGAUGCAACGCGAAGAACCUUACCUGGCCUUGACAUAGUAAGAACUUUCCAGAGAUGGAUUGGUGCCUUCGGGAACUUACAUACAGGUGCUGCAUGGCUGUCGUCAGCUCGUGUCGUGAGAUGUUGGGUUAAGUCCCGCAACGAGCGCAACCCUUUUCCUUAUUUGCCAGCGAGUAAUGUCGGGAACUUUAAGGAUACUGCCAGUGACAAACUGGAGGAAGGCGGGGACGACGUCAAGUCAUCAUGGCCCUUACGGCCAGGGCUACACACGUGCUACAAUGGUCGGUACAAAGGGUUGCUACACAGCGAUGUGAUGCUAAUCUCAAAAAGCCGAUCGUAGUCCGGAUUGGAGUCUGCAACUCGACUCCAUGAAGCCGGAAUCGCUAGUAAUCGCGGAUCAGAAUGCCGCGGUGAAUACGUUCCCGGGCCU